rnacentral:lncRNA from 1 species
UGUUGACUGAAGUGCGUAUUAGGAGCUUUGGCCAGUCAAAGCAAAAGGUAGCGAAAAGAUAGUCACUUCAAGGUGUCCAAGUUAAGAAAACCAGGAGGUAGAAUUCAAGGAGACCAUGUCAAAUCCUGUCAGCAAAGUCAAGGUCAGAAAGGAAGCCACUUCCUAACGACCCACACCACUGGUGGUCUCAUCACGCUGUUGCACCAUUUGGAUGUUUUCUAAUUCUCCCGGGCUGUUUUCUCUCCAAUUGGACUGUAAACUCCUGGCAGGCUCAGGCAGUGCUCGGAAGGUCUCUCACACGGUCCAACCUUACGCGAAAAGCACUUAUUGAAAGCACCUCGAUGGCCGGGCGCGGUGGCUCACGACUGUAAUCCCAGCACUUUGGGACGCCAAGGCGGGCGGAUCACCUGAGCUCAAGAGUUCGAGACCAGCCUGGCCAACAUAGUGAAACCCUGUCUCUACUAAAAAUACAAAAAUUAGCCA